rnacentral:rRNA from 1 species
CGGAUUCUGGCUCAGGAUGAACGCUAGCGGCAGGCUUAACACAUGCAAGUCGAGGGGCAUCGGGAGUAGCAAUACUUGCCGGCGACCGGCGCAAGGGUGCGUAACGCGUGAGCAACAUGCCCGUAUCAGGGGGGAUAAUCCAUGGAAACGUGGUCUAAUACCCCAUAGUAAUUAUGUAAGGCAUCUUAUAUAAUUUAAAGCUUUGGUGGAUACGGAUUGGCUCGCGUGACAUUAGCUGGAUGGUAAGGUAACGGCUUACCAUGGCUACGAUGUCUAGGGGUUCUGAGAGGAAGGUCCCCCACACUGGAACUGAGACACGGUCCAGACUCCUACGGGAGGCAGCAGUGAGGAAUAUUGGACAAUGGAUGGAAAUCUGAUCCAGCCAUGCCGCGUGCAAGGAAGACGGCCCUAUGGGUUGUAAACUGCUUUUGUAUGGGAGCAAUAAGGGCUACGUGUAGUCCGAUGAGAGUACCAUACGAAUAAGCACCGGCUAACUCCGUGCCAGCAGCAGC